AACGCACCUUGCGCUCCUUGGUAUUCCGAGGAGCAUGCCUGUUUGAGUGUCAUUAAUAUAUCAACUUCUUCAGCUUUUGCUUGUUGAGUGUUGGAUGUGGGGGUUUUGCUGGCCUUUCUAAAGGUCAGCUCCCCUGAAAUGCAUUAGCGGAACAAUUUGUUGACUGUUCAUUGGUGUGAUAAUUAUCUGCGCUAUUGAACUGUGAGGCAAGUUCAGCUUCUAAUAGUCCAUUGACUUGGACAAUUUUUUUCAUUUAAUGUGACCUCAAAUCAGGUAGGACUACCCGCUGAACUUAA
rnacentral:misc_RNA from 1 species